AUCGCUUCUCUCGGCCUUUUGGCUCAGAUCAAGUGUUAGUAUCUGUUCUUAUCAGUUUAAUAUCUGAUACGUCCCCAUCGGGGGAACACAUAUUAAAUGGAUUUUUCGAACAGGGAGUCGGAAAAUGGGGCUUGCUCCGUCCGCUCCACGCAUCGACCCGGUAUUGGCAGUACCUCCGGAACGGGCAGACACU
rnacentral:snRNA from 1 species